rnacentral:misc_RNA from 1 species
GCCAACACAAGUACAACCAACAACAUAAGAAUUUAUGCAGCCCUGUUAAUAUUUUCUAAUGUCCUACCAAUGUUUCUAGUUCCACAUCCUUGCACCAUCCUGCUAACUUGAGGGCAAAACUUCCCAGGUCGUCUCUGGUUAGGUAACAUAAUUGCAUAAAAUUAAGUACAAAAUAUUGGUUAAGUUCACACCAAAGGCCUGACUAGGCAACUUUUUGGCAAUCAAGCUUGAGCUUUUCUCUUUCCCAUGCAUUUCCGCACUAGUGACAGUUUAGACCUUAUUGAUCCAUUGCUUUCCUCCUCACUGUCUUCACUAUCCAGCACUAUUAUUGAUUCAGCUACUUGUGUUUCUUCUCCCCAUUGUUUAAUCUCGCCAUCAAGUUUUCCAUUCUGAGGUUGAUCAGACUGCUGCUUCCGAUAUUUAUUUGCAGGAAGUUCCCCUGAGCGCAAGAACAAUCGGCUAUUAUCCUCAUUGCUACCCUGCAAUUGAGUCAGAGGACUCGGAUGCAGUUUCCGAUCAUUUCCGGCCUUCCUUUGUGUUUUGGGACUUGAUGAUAAUUUGUGCAUCAGCAAAACAUUCUCCUUGUCAUCCUUUUCCUGUCCCCCUGACGAACCCUUAAAGCCCAAGGAAAGCUUCUUGCGUACUGAACAUACUUUCUUACAUUUAGUAUCAGUGGAGCCAUUUCCCGAUUUUUCCAUAGAAACCUGACAAGUCUGAACUCAUGAUUUUGCUGUCAUAUGUUGAUAUGCAGUCACGGUGCUGAUGUAUUUGCAGUUCAUGAAGGCUUUCACCCUGCA